rnacentral:rRNA from 1 species
CCUACGGGAGGCAGCAGUGAGGAAUAUUGGUCAAUGGACGAGAGUCUGAACCAGCCAAGUAGCGUGAAGGAUGACUGCCCUAUGGGUUGUAAACUUCUUUUAUAUGGGAAUAAAACGUUCCACGUGUGGGAUUUUGUAUGUACCAUAUGAAUAAGGAUCGACUAACUCCGUGCCAGCAGCCGCGGUAAUACGGAGGAUCCGAGCGUUAUCCGGAUUUAUUGGGUUUAAAGGGAGCGUAGGUGGAUUGUUAAGUCAGUUGUGAAAGUUUGCGGCUCAACCGUAAAAUUGCAGUUGAAACUGGCAGUCUUGAGUACAGUAGAGGUGGGCGGAAGUCGUGGUGUAGCGGUGAAAUGCUUAGAUAUCACGAAGAACUCCGAUUGCGAAGGCAGUUCACUGGACUGCAACUGACACUGAGGCUCGAAAGUGUGGGUAUCAAACAGGAUUAGAUACCCUUGUAGUC